rnacentral:rRNA from 1 species
UUCGAUUAAGCCAUGCGAGUCUAAGGGGUACUUGUACCCCUGGCAUAAUGCUCAGUAACACGUGGAUAAUCUACCCUUAGGUGGGGCAUAAACCCGGGAAACUGGGGCUAAUUCCCCAUAGAUACAGAACGCUGGAAUGCCUCUGUAUUCAAAGCUCCGGCGCCUAAGGAUGAGUCUGCGACCUAUCAGGUAGUAGUCAGGGUCACGACCUGACUAGCCAACGACGGGUACGGGGUGUGAGAGCACUUGCCCGGAGAUGGUUUCUGAGACACGAAACCAGGCCCUACGGGGCGCAGCAGGCGCGAAAACUUCGCAAUGCGGGAAACCGUGACGAGGGAACUCCAAGUGUCUAUGCAAUGCAUAGACUGUUUUUCAGCCUAAAUAGCUGUUAGAGUAAGGGGUGGGUAAGACCGGUGCCAGCCGCCGCGGUAACACCGGCACCCCGAGUGGUAGCCACUAUUAUUGGGCCUAAAGCGUUCGUAGCCGGUUUAGUAAAUUCUUGGGUAAAUCGUACAGCUUAACUGUGCGGAUUCCGGGGACACUACUAGACUUGAGACCGGGAGAGAUUAGAGGUACUUGCAGGGGAGCGGUGAAAUGUUGUAAUCCUGCAGGGACCACCAGUGGCGAAGGCGUCUAAUCAUAACGGCUCUGACGGUGAGGAACGAAACCCUGGGGCGCAAACGGGAUUAGAUACCCCGGUAGUCCAGGGCGUAAACGCUGCUGACUUGGUGUUGGAGAUCCUACGAGGGUGUCCAGUGCUGGCGCGAAGGUAUUAAGUCAGCCGCCUGGGGAGUACGGUCGCAAGACUGAAACUUAAAGGAAUUGGCGGGGGAGCACUGCAACGUGUGGAGCGUGCGGUUUAAUUGG